AGAGUUUGAUCAUGGCUCAGGACGAACGCUGGCGGCGUGCUUAACACAUGCAAGUCGAGCGAUGAGAUCCCUUCGGGGAUGGAUUAGCGGCGAACGGGUGAGGAACACGUGAAGAAUCUGCCUUCAACUCUGGGAUAACACCGGGAAACCGGUGCUAAUACCGGAUAUGAGCCUUGAUCGCAUGAUCGGGGCUGGAAAGUUUUUCGGUUGAAGAUGACUUCGCGGCCUAUCAGCUAGUUGGUGAGGUAAUAGCUCACCAAGGCGACGACGGGUAGCCGGCCUGAGAGGGCGACCGGCCACACUGGGACUGAGACACGGCCCAGACUCCUACGGGAGGCAGCAGUGGGGAAUAUUGGGCAAUGGACGAAAGUCUGACCCAGCGACGCCGCGUGAGGGAUGAAGGCCUUCGGGUUGUAAACCUCUUUCAGCAGGGAAGAAGCGAAAGUGACGGUACCUGCAGAAGAAGCACCGGCUAACUAUGUGCCAGCAGCCGCGGUAAUACAUAGGGUGCAAGCGUUGUCCGGAAUUAUUGGGCGUAAAGAGCUCGUAGGUGGUUAGUUACGUCGGAUGUGAAAAUCUAGGGCUCAACCCUAGACCUGCAUCCGAUACGGGCUAGCUUGAGUUUGGUAGGGGAGACUGGAAUUCCUGGUGUAGCGGUGGAAUGCGCAGAUAUCAGGAGGAACACCAAUGGCGAAGGCAGGUCUCUGGGCCAAUACUGACACUGAGGAGCGAAAGUGUGGGGAGCGAACAGGAUUAGAUACCCUGGUAGUCCACACAGUAAACGAUGGGCACUAGUUGUGGGAACCUUCCACGGUUUCUGCGACGCAGCUAACGCAUUAAGUGCCCCGCCUGGGGAGUACGAUCGCAAGAUUAAAACUCAAAGGAAUUGACGGGGCCCCGCACAAGCAGCGGAGCAUGCGGCUUAAUU
rnacentral:rRNA from 1 species